rnacentral:rRNA from 1 species
ACAGCAGUAGCCACGGUAAUACGAAGGGGGCUAGCGUUGCUCGGAAUUACAGGGCGUAAAGGGCGCGUAGGCGGACAGUCCAGUCGGGGGUGAAAGCCCGGGGCUCAACCUCGGAAUUGCCCUCGAUACUGGCUGUCUUGAGUAUGAGAGAGGUGUGUGGAACUCCGAGUGUAGAGGUGAAAUUCGUAGAUAUUCGGAAGAACACCAGUGGCGAAGGCGACACACUGGCUCAUUACUGACGCUGAGGAGCGAAAGCGUGGGGAGCGAACAGGAUUAGAUACCCCCGUAGUCCCUGUCUCUUAUAC